UACGGGGGGAGCAAGCGUUGUUCGGAUUUACUGGGCGUAAAGGGCGCGUAGGCGGCACCGCAAGUCGACUGUGAAAUCUCCGGGCUUAACCCGGAAAGGUCAGCCGAUACUGCGGGGCUAGAGUGCAGAAGGGGCAACUGGAAUUCUCGGUGUAGCGGUGAAAUGCGCAGAUAUCAGGAGGAACACCGGUGGCGAAGGCGGGUCUCUGGGCCGAUACUGACGCUGAGGAGCGAAAGCGUGGGGAGCAAACAGG
rnacentral:rRNA from 1 species